GUGAAUCAUCGAAUCUUUGAACGCAAAUUGCGCCUUUUUCUGAAGGCAUGUCCGUUUGAGGGCACCAUUUAACAAAUAAUGUGCAGCGAUUUUUGUUGCACACGUUUAUUAGCUUUCCAAGAAUUUUAAUUUUUUGUUGGCGCAUAAUGAACAGCGUGAAAGUUUUUUGCAUUUCGCGUGUAUCAAAAU
rnacentral:misc_RNA from 1 species